rnacentral:misc_RNA from 1 species
AGGUCGCUUUCGCAGCGCUGAGGAGGGCGGCGCCCCGGCCCCGGGCGGCGGGGUGGGAACGCCGCCGACCGCCGCAGCUGGUGGUGAUGGUGGUGCAGGUGCUGGUGCCCCGUCGACAGCGGGCCCUGAUCCCGCUCCCGGACCUGCACGAGCCCCCGCGGGCGCUGGCGCAGGGCGUCAUCGGCCCUCGCCGCCGCCACGGCCGCGGAGGUUGCCGGGCACGACGCCUCGGAGCGGCGGUGGUGGUGGUGGACCCUGUCGGACCGGACGGCUGCCAUGGCAAGCUUUGGCUGGCCCUCGACGCGCGGCGCCCGCCCAAGAUGGAUCGGAUGCCGCGGAAGGAA